rnacentral:lncRNA from 1 species
GUAGUAUCAGAGGCAAAGUCUAAACUAGGAAAUGAGAAUUUAUGUGAUUUCUGCACUCGAGACUAUCGCAAUUACUGUCUACAACAGGCUCUACAUUUCACUAGACUAACAAUUGCAUGAAUUCAUUCCCCAUUGCUGUCCCCCAAUGGCCCUCAAUUUCUCAAACCAAGCAAUUUCAUGAUUUCAUAUUACUUUGCAGCAUAUAAUUCACAGACUCAGGAAGUUAUUCUUCAUUUAGCAAUCAUCAUUUAGGAAAACAACAUCAUGCCAGAAAAUAUACCUUUAGACACAAUCAACAUCAAAUGCCACAAGUCUAUUAGACGAGUUCCACUGUUGCGAUGGUGAGCCUCACACACACACUAGAUUAUAUGACCGUUUAUUGCAGGGCAUGUGGCACACAGGUCAUGAGAAUCCACAAAGGCAAAUAAUCAACAAUGGUUAAGACAUAAA